GAGAGUUCUUACUAGCAUGAAAGAAUAGUGGCACUCAGAAAUACCGUCAUGUCAGCAGUGAGCUCACAGUGGUUUAAACCAGUUCGACCGUGGUAAUAGAAAUAUUUGUGCUGUCUUUGGUGAACUUCGGGUCAGGCCUCUCUUUGGAAUAAACCUGUUAGAGGAACAGACCAAUUCCCUGAGCGACUGUAGCCCUUACAGCAAAUCAGCAGUUUGAAACGUGGAGCAGCGUGAAAAUCUACCCAAUCUCUCUCUUUCCCGGCUUCACAAGUGGGAGCUGUUGAUACCUGCAUAGCUGUUGGUACAAGGCAGAGCGGAAGAGCAUAGUAAGUUAAUAAUCUACAAGCAAUUCAGAAACGUCGAGGGCAGAGGCACUGACACUGGGGAAUCAUAUGUCUGCACCAAACGUCUAGUCGAUUGUUUACUUGGAGGGCUGAUGAAAAAAGGACUGAUGAACCUCUGAAACAACUCCUUGGCAGAAUCAUAGAAUCAUUAAGGUUGGAAAAGACCUUCAAGAUCAUCUGGUCCAACCAUCACCCUACUACCAAUGUCACCCACUAAACCAUGUUCAACCUUUCCUUAAACACCCCCAGGGAUGGUGACGCCACCAUCUCCGUGGGCAACCCAUUCCAAUGCCUGAGUGCUCUUUCUGAGAAGAAAUGGCUCCUAAUUUCCAACCUAAACCUUCCCUGGUACAACUUGAGGUUAUUCCCUUUAGUCCUAUCACUAGUUGCCUGUGAGAAGAGGCUAACCCCCAGCUUCCCACAACUUCCUUUCAGAGAACAUCUUAUUGGAAAACCUGAAGCUGAUCCUGCUGCAUCUUUGAAGAGAUUACAGUAAGAACACUUUACUAGUUCAUAAAUGAGGACUGGACAACCUCAAUGGUCAAGUGAAUGAAGUAAAGCUGAAAGUCAUACAGUGUUUCACAAAAAGAGACAAAAAUAAUGCUAAAUUGUUGUCAAUUCUUCUUCUAAACCUAAUAAAAUUACAGUAAUUUCUUCCAAAUUUGAAGUGUUAUCCAAGUAUUCCAUCCUCUCCUGUUUUAGAGCUGUUUGCUGCUAUCCGUUUAACACAUAACAACAGUACUUUCUCACAAGCUCCAAACCUCACUGUUGGCCUCACUUUGAUCAGGUAGUGUUUAGUUUCUCCUAAAGCUACCAGGGAUGUGUUCUAUUGAUCAAGAGUGUUCAUCCAUGACAUAUUAUCUAGCUUAAAAGUGUUUGAAAUCACAGCUUGACAAUUUGGAGAGUGACUUUUCACUCGGACACAUGAUGACAGGACAAGUGGGAAUGGUUUUAAACUAAAAGGGGGGAGAUUUAGAUUAGAUGUUGGGAGGAAAUUCUUCACUCAGAGAGUGGUAAGGCACUGGAAAUUGUUGCUUAGAGAAGUUGUGGAUACCCCAUCCCUGAAAGCAUUCAAGGCCAGGUUGGAUGGGGCUCUGGGCAACCUGAUCUAGUGGGUGGCAUCCCUGCCCAUGGCAAGAGCAUUGCAACUAGAUGAUCUUUAAGGCCCCUUCCAACCCAAACCAUUCUAUGAUUCUAUGAGUCACUGCCUUUUUCUAUGCAUAGAAUUAUUACUUUUUAGUGAAAAUUAAAACAAAAAAAAAUCAAAUAUCAUUUAUCUUUAUUAACAUUUAUUUUCUUCUGCUUGGUACUUUAUUUUAUUUUAUUUUAUUUUAUUUUAUUUUAUUUUAUUUUAUUUUAUUUCAUUUUAUUUUAUUUUAUUUUAUUUUAUUUUAUUUUAUUUUAUUUUAUUUUAUUUUAUUUUAUUUAUUUUAUAUAUUAUUUUUUUUUGUGUGUGUUUCUGUGCUGCUUUAUGUUUUACAGCACAUCACAUGAAUAACGGUCAUAUGCCUUGCACCUGAUUGUUUCUUUGCUCAAAUUUGCUGGAACAUUUGCUGGAAAGUUUCCAGUGUUACAAAGGCAACAAAUAAUCUUCAUAAAAUAGAACAGAUGGCAGGCACCUUUGUAUUUAUUACAGCAUUGUUGCUUUAGAAAUCUACAGGUGCUAAAAAAGAUGGAGCUUCAUUGUCUGAGUCUUGUAUCUGUUGCUUGUUUCAUACUGUGUUAAAAACUAUGGUAAAUA
ensembl:lncRNA